ACCGGAAUCCCGAUGCACAAGAUAUCUCGUCAAAGGUAAAACUAAUCCAGCAAGGCCGCCCGACGUGUCGACGAUCCCGAUAGGAGUCGCGUACCUCGUUCUCAGGACACGGCGGAUGAGCUAGACGCCGGGAUCGCUAAACCUCCGGGUGACCAGAGGGGCGCCGGACAUCGCUCAGGUGGGGCCAACACUCAUGAGGAGCACUGGCCCGGGGGUUGAUUAA
rnacentral:lncRNA from 1 species